rnacentral:rRNA from 1 species
UACGUAGGGUGCAAGCGUUGUCCGGAAUUAUUGGGCGUAAAGAGCUCGUAGGCGGUCUGUCGCGUCGGCUGUGAAAACCCGAGGCUCAACCCCGGGCCUGCAGUCGAUACGGGCAGACUAGAGUGCGGUAGGGGAGACUGGAAUUCCUGGUGUAGCGGUGAAAUGCGCAGAUAUCAGGAGGAACACCGGUGGCGAAGGCGGGUCUCUGGGCCGUAACUGACGCUGAGGAGCGAAAGCGUGGGGAGCGAACAGG